UACGUAGGUGGCAAGCGUUGUUCGGAAUUAUUGGGCGUAAAGAGCGCGUAGGCGGUUCGGUAAGUCUGGUGUGAAAUCCCUGGGCUCAACUCAGGAAGUGCAUUGGAUACUGUCGGACUGGAGUGCAGGAGGGGAGAGUGGAAUUCCUGGUGUAGAGGUGAAGUUCGUAGAUAUCAGGAGGAACAACAGAGGCGAAGGCGACUCUCUGGACUGUCACUGACGCUGAGGCGCGAAAGCGUGGGGAGCAAACAGG
rnacentral:rRNA from 1 species